UAUAAACAAAUAUAACAAAUUUAUUUAUUUAUUUAAAUAUCUUUAUACAGGAUAACAAGCUCAGAUUCACUGUUUUUAAACAUGGUCCUGUUAAAAUGAAAUAACAAUAUAUACAAAAAGAUAAAAGUGUAACUUAGGUUCUAUACAAAUAGUGAAUGAAUUCGAUAUCAAUAACAUUAAAAUCAGAAUCAUCACUAGUAAAACAAUUGUAUAAAAAUAACAUAUUCAAUUUUUGAGGAAUCAAUGAAAUGAGAACAUUUCUCUCUUGCUUUAUUCCAUAUUUCAAGAAAUUUGGGCCUGUAUACUAGCAACUUAAUAUGCCCACCAACUUUUCUAUAUUGCUUUAUUCCGUAUAUUUAUGAAGUUUGUCACUCUAUACUAGCACCUUAAUAUACCCACAGAAAAUUAAAUUGUGUUCAAAAUUUUCUAUAUCGCUUUAUUCCGUAUUUUGAUAAGUUUGUCACUUUAUACCAGCACCUUAAUAUGCCAACAUUUCUGUAUUGCUUUAUUCUGUAUAUUUUUUUAUGCAGUCACUCUAUACUGCAUCAAAUUGAUACAGACUAAAGCAAUAGAGAAUUAAGAAUCUUGGCUCGAUCAUUCAUUAGUACUUUAUGCCCACAAACUUUUCUUUAUUACUUUAUUCCGUAUUUUGGUGAAGCUUAAUUGUCACUCUUUAUUAGCACCUAAAUAAUUAUGCCCCCCCCCCAAAAAAAAAAAAUCUAUUAUUGCGUUUCAACUUUACUAUAUCGGUUUUUACGUAUUUUGUUGAAGAUUUUAUACUCUCACCCGAAUAUGCCUCCCAUUUUUGUUGCCUUUAUACUUUUCCUUCGCUCUACCCCCCGCCCAGACAGACAUUUCAAACCCAGAACACCACUUUUCCCGCCCUCCGGUCAAUAGUAAUUAUUAGAAUCUCGGUUGAUUCGUCCCUAUGCUCACCAAGUUUUCCGUUUUCUCUAUAAGCUUUAUCCCGUAUUUAGUGAAGUUUGUCACUAUACUAACACCUUAAUCAAUUUGCCCAUCAAAAAAAUCAAAUUGCGUUUUAACAUAUGUUUUUCCUUUAUUCCGUAUUUGUAGCUAAUCACCUUUGGAAUAUAUACAUCUGUACCAUUAAAAGUCCGUCUUGCUCUUUCUUGAGGAAAAUAAAAAUAAGCUAACAUUGACAAAAUCCAUUUAUGAUAGGGUGACGAUGGAAGAGUAGAAAAGAUACGCAAAAAUGUUGGACAUAAUAAAAUGCCCUAUAUAGAGUUUAACAAUUACGGAAUAAAGCAAUAACGCGAAGGAGGAAAAUUGAGAAACAACAUAAAAAUACAGCAUAAAGUGAAAGUUCAUGAAUAUAUAAAAUCAUGCAUAAAAUUUUAUGCAUUAUGUGCGAGAUGCGGCAAGACACAUCUUGAUGUCAGUGGGGCACGAUUGACAUGGAGGGCGCAACUUUUCGCAGAGGAUUAGAGUGAGGAUUGUUUGAGAGGAUUAGAGUGAAGAAAGAAAGGUUUAGUGAGAGAGAUGAUUGAUGAGCUUGCCGGGCGAAAAAAAAAUGAGGAAAUUUGUUGACUUGGAAUAUUUUGGCGGAAGGAGUGAAGGAGGUUAAAAUUCAAUAUAACGGGGCAUUUAUAUAUAACCAAGAAGGAUAACGCAAAAGUGAGUAUAUGAAAUUAUUUACAAUUUCUUGUGCAUACUUUUUUUUUCAAUUUUCCCGUGCCUACCAAAAUGCCACAUUUAUUUGAAAAUAUCCGAGAAGAUCGUAUAUUGGCGGACCGAUAGCGACAUGAUGUUUGCUGUAGAGGGGAUAACUUGGGAGUUUAGAAUGAAAAAAAAAGGAAGCUAUAUAUAUGUUAAAAUAAAGUUUUAGGCCUACACGCCGACUACGAACAUCAAGUGCAAACUAGUUGCGUGACUUUUUUGUUCCAUGUUUAGGCCCCCUGUUGCCUAAACAGAGAAAUGUUCCGGGUGUUAUUUCAGGUGACUCAAUAUACUCAAUAGUAAACGCACAUCGUGUUAAAAUACAUAGCGAUAAUAUAAACGAAGUGAAAAAAAUAACAAAAUCCUGUUUGGAAUUAUUGGUACCAUUAUCUAUAGCCCCUGGAUCCUGAAAUAUAUAUAUUUUCUAAUUAAUUAAAUCACUGAUCGUUGAUUCCCUGGCGCUGGCCUGCUAACUGCCGCCGGGGAAACCUCCGUACGUCUUGAGCGCUAAACCAGUUUCGGCUGUCAGCUCAUCUCAUGUGGCGUGCUGACUACGAUGCUGGACUGCAGAUCAAAAGGUUCGAGUUCGAUUCCCAUCAAGGACAGAAAAAAUAAGGUUAGUAAAACAGUGUUAUGUAAUAUAAUAUGAAAUGAAAUGUACAGUAUGAUGAAUAAGUUGGAUGGAAUGAAUGAAUGAGGAAUAAAUCCACCCACCAUGUAUCAUACAGAAAACACAAAAAGAAAACGAAAAUACGAUGCACAUAGUAUUUUAUUGAAAACCCGCCGAUUUCAUAUAUUUUAGUGCCCCUUCACCCCCCCCCCCCCCAAUCCCUAAUCCCCGCCCCUCUCUCGCACAGCUGAAAUACCCAUUAACACGCCACUUCACUGAACGCCGAUAUCCCGCUGACUGAGCUUUGUUAUUGUGCGGUCAUGUGUGACACCGGUCGCACAUGCUCUUACGCACGUCUAGCGAUAAGAAUUUUCACUCGGCUGAGCAGUUUUAAUGGCGCUUGGGCACAAUAGCGAAUUUGGCCGGCCUAAAAAACUCAGGCGAUGGUUCGUAUAGCCAGCCAUUAACUCCACUAUAGCCUAUAGGUGAAGCGGAGGUUAGCAGUAGUGAAGUGUAGUGGAGCUUACACGAACCAUCGCCUGCUGUACUAGUAUAGUUGUGGUACUGGCCCUGGCCCCACUCAUUACUAGUUCGAGGUUAGUUGCUACAUAUAGUUGCUACAGUACAUGUAUAGAUCGACUAUAGUACUAACCUCGUACACCGAACUGCAUUUGGCCCUGGAUUUCUGUGAAGUUGGCAAACAUCGCUUCAUUACAAUACAGAAUUAAUAUUUGCCGAAACUCCUCGCUACUCACCGGGGCGCUUUGCGAUUCCCAUUCAGCCGUUGGACUGAACCGGUACUGUAACACAGUAUGGAUGGUCAAUAUGAAGCGAGCUUCAUUGAAUUCCUCCAAGAGCUCUGUACUCCGUUUUGCUCAUUUUGAAGAUGGUUGCUUUGACAGGACUGGGCAAGUGACUCGUCUUAGACAGGAUGCUGUCCCAACCAUAUUUGAUUUCCUGCCUCGUCUUCAGAAGAUUCCCAUUCAGCCGUUGGACUGAACCGGUACUGUAACACAGUAUGGAUGGUCAAUAUGAAGCGAGCUUCAUUGAAUUCCUCCAAGAGCUCUGUACUCCGUUUUGCUCAUUUUGAAGAUGGUUGCUUUGACAGGACUGGGCAAGUGACUCGUCUUAGACAGGAUGCUGUCCCAACCAUAUUUGAUUUCCUGCCUCGUCUUCAGAAGAUUCCCAUUCAGCCGUUGGACUGAACCGGUACUGUAACACAGUAUGGAUGGUCAAUAUGAAGCGAGCUUCAUUGAAUUCCUCCAAGAGCUUUGUACUCCGUUUUGCUCAUUUUGAAGAUUGUAGCUUUGACAGGACUGGGCAAGUGACUCGUCUUAGACAAGAUGCUGUCCCAACCAUAUUUGAUUUCCUGCCUCGUCUUCAGAAGAAUUCACCCAAGCCAAGGAAUUCCCCGAAAGAAAGACGUUUUGAUUCAGCAAACAACCUCCCAGAUACUGCAAAGUCUUCAGCACCUUCAUUUCUCGAGGACCACUCCUACUCAAUAUCAGAAAGUCCAAGAGGGGUAAAGUGGAAGAUAACAGCAAUAAUGGACUAUUAAAAACUUGGAGAAGAGGCUGAAACCACACAGCAGAAGUCCCGCCGUGUACAUUACUUGCUCUUAAGUUUGGACAAACAUGACUCGCAAAACUUUACAACAAAUAAUUUACGCUAUGUGCAUUCUGAUUAUUUAAAAUAGCUCAAUGAAAAAGUUUACCACUGGGCAUGUAACAAAAGUGCAUUCAUUAAAUUUGAACGUGUUGCAAAAA